CCUACGGGCGGCAGCAGUGGGGAAUAUUGCACAAUGGGGGAAACCCUGAUGCAGCGACGCCGCGUGAGUGAAGAAGUAUUUCGGUAUGUAAAGCUCUAUCAGCAGGGACGAAAAAAAACGGUACCUCACUAAGAAUCCCCGCCUAACUCCGGGCCACAAGCCCCGGUAAUACGUAGGGGGCAAGCGUUAUCCGGAUUUACUGGGUGUAAAGGGAGCGUAGACGGUAUGGCACGUCUGAAGUGAAAGCCCAGGGCUUAACCCUGGGACUGCUUUGGAAACUGUUAGACUAGAGUGAUGGAGAGGGCAGUGGAAUUCCUAGUGUAGCGGUGAAAUGCGUAGAUAUUAGGAGGAACACCAGUGGCGAAGGCGGCUUACUGGACAGUAACUGACGUUGAGGCUCGAAAGCGUGGGGAGCAAACAGGAUUAGAUACCCUGGUAGUC
rnacentral:rRNA from 1 species